rnacentral:rRNA from 1 species
UACAGAGGUCCCGAGCGUUGUUCGGAUUCACUGGGCGUAAAGGGUGCGUAGGUGGUUGGGUAAGUUUGAUGUGAAAGCUCAGGGCUUAACCCUGAAAUGGCAUUGAAUACUACUUAACUGGAGGUUUGGAGGGGGGACUGGAAUUCUUGGUGUAGCAGUGAAAUGCGUAGAGAUCGGGAGGAACACCAGUGGCGAAGGCGGCCGGCUGGGGGUGACCUGACGCUGAGGCGCGAAAGCGUGGGGAGCGAACCGG